CCAUGAACGCUGGCGGCGUGCCUAAUACAUGCAAGUCGAGCGAACAGAUAAGGAGCUUGCUCCUUUGACGUUAGCGGCGGACGGGUGAGUAACACGUGGGUAACCUACCUAUAAGACUGGAAUAACUCCGGGAAACCGGGGCUAAUGCCGGAUAACAUAUAGAACCGCAUGGUUCUAUAGUGAAAGAUGGUUUUGCUAUCACUUAUAGAUGGACCCGCGCCGUAUUAGCUAGUUGGUAAGGUAAUGGCUUACCAAGGCGACGAUACGUAGCCGACCUGAGAGGGUGAUCGCCACACUGGAACUGAGACACGGCCAGACUCCUACGGGAGGCAGCAGUAGGGAAUCUUCCGCAAUGGGCGAAAGCCUGACGGAGCAACGCCGCGUGAGUGAUGAAGGGUUUCGCUCGUAAAACUCUGUUAUUAGGGAAGACAUAUGUGUAAGUAACUUGUGCACAUCUUGACGGUACCUAAUCAGAAAGCCACGGCUACUACGUGCCACAGCCGGGUAAUACGUAGGUGGCAAGCGUUAUCCGGAAUUAUUGGCCUAAAAGCCCGCUAGCGGUUUCUUAAGUUGAUGGGAAACCCACGGCUCAAACCGGGGGGGGUAAUUGUAACUUGGGAAAAUUGAUGCCAAAAGAGGAAGAGGAAGUCCUUUUUAGCGGUAAAAUGCCCUAAAAUUUUGGAGGGAAACCCAGCGGGGGAAGGGGAGUUUUUUGGUUUUGAACUUAACCUUUUUUGCCAAAACCCUGGGGUUUAAAAAGAAGGAAAUAAAAUCCCCGGGGGGGCCCCACCCGGAAAAUAAAAAGGGGUUGAAAGGUUUAAGGGGUUUUCCCUCCCUUUAAGGGAUGGAAAACAAAAAAA
rnacentral:rRNA from 1 species